ensembl:snRNA LOC120102607 U6 spliceosomal RNA
GUUUGCAUUGACAGCACACAUACUUUUAUUUGGAGCAACACAGAGAAGAUUAGCAAUUAACAAUAGCCCCUGUACAAGGACAACACUCAUGCUUCUACAGCAAUUCUUAUUUUU